ensembl:lncRNA
GGAGGAGUGUUGCAGGCUUGCAUGUGGAGGGCAGUGCAGAAUUUCAGGGGGCUCAACAGGAUGCUUUCCUUUGCAGGCAGGCCAGGGCUGGGGCUGGCAGGGCCAGCCAGGGGGCCAUAGCAGUGGGGACAGCUCAGUGACAGCCAAAUACCAUCUUUCAUGCCAGGGCUCCCAUCCUGCUGCUUUGGGUGGUGCAGGCACCAGGGAUCCACCUCGGCACUGAGAUGUUCCCUAGCCAAAAGUCUUCCCAGGCUGCAGCUCAAAUCCA